CUGGUGUCAGCCGCCGCGGUAAUACCAGCACCCCGAGUGGUCGGGACGUUUAUUGGGCCUAAAGCAUCCGUAGCCGGUUCUACAAGUCUUCCGUUAAAUCCACCUGCUUAACAGAUGGGCUGCGGAAGAUACUAUAGAGCUAGGAGGCGGGAGAGGCAAGCGGUACUCGAUGGGUAGGGGUAAAAUCCGUUGAUCCAUUGAAGACCACCAGUGGCGAAGGCGGCUUGCCAGAACGCGCUCGACGGUGAGGGAUGAAAGCUGGGGGAGCAAACCGGAUUAGAUACCCGGGUAGUCCCAGCUGUAAACGAUGCAGACUCGGUGAUGAGUUGGCUUAUUGCUAACUCAGUGCCGCAGGGAAGCCGUUAAGUUUGCCGCUUGGGGAGUACGGCCGCAAGACUGAAACUUAAAGGAAUUGGCGGGGGAGCACCACAAGGGGUGAAGCCUGCGGUUCAAUUGGAGUCAACGCCGGAAAUCUUACCGGGGGCGACAGCAGAGUGAAGGUCAAGCUGAAGACUUUACCAGACAAGCU
rnacentral:rRNA from 2 species